GUUGCAGCAGAAAUGAAAGAUGUUGGAUCCUAGGUUCUGAAAUCCAUCUGUUGCUGUGCUGUCUUACAUUAAUGAAUCACUGCAGUCACUGAAAAAAGAUGACAAGAACAGGAGAUAUUCCUUGCCAACCAUGUGAUAGAGAGAGAGAGAAACACACACACAUUUGAGCCUCUAUCAUUACUAACCAGAGCUCCAGAUUAUAAUCUGCGUGUACAACUCAUUCAUCCUGUGUGAAAACCACCGACAUCAUGUGGAAACCACCUGACAUUUUUAAAGGGAGCAAUAUUGCCAGACUUGCUGAACUUUUCCAGCAACUUCUG